ensembl:lncRNA
AGAAGUUACACCUUCGGUGAAAAUGUAUUUUUCUCAUUAUGAAAGCCUCAGACCAUGGGAAGAAUAACAGCAGUGUGCAAUUCUAACACUGUCAUGAACUUUUUUUUUUUUUUUUUAAUGGUCGUACCCAUGGCAUAUGGAAGUUCCUUGGCCAGGGACUGAAUCUGAGCCGCAGCUGCGCCGGAUCCUUUAACCCACUAUGCCAGGCUGGGGAUCAAUUGCCCCUGCAGUGACUGGAGCCACUGUAUCAGCUUCUUUCUCUCUCUCUUUUUUUUUGGUCUUUUCUAGGGCCGCACUGCCUGGGAACCUCCAUAUGCCACGGGAUCGGCCCUAGAAAAGACAAAAAAAUAAAAAUAAAAUAAAAGUAAAAAAUAAAACUGAAACCCAUUUUUUUCCAUAAUUUCUAGUAUGACACUUCUAAAUCUCCUGUAUUCCUUUUUUUUUUCUUCCCCUCCUAUAUUGCUUUUAACAAAGCUGGUAAAUGUGAACAGCAAGAGGCCCCCACUUAACAACAGAACACCUAUCGUUUUAUUCUCUUUUAUAUAGGAAAAAGAAGGGAAGCAUAACUGUGGGGAUUGUUAUAGUGAGCCCCUUUCUUUCUCAUGUGAAACAUACAUCUCUACUGAGAAUUGACUACAUCACUCCAGAUCCCGACCCCAGAUAAUCAGACUUUGUGUCACAAGCUUUUGUGAAGCUUGGGGUGGACAUGAGAGGGACUUAAUUAUUGAAGUAGGUAUUAUAGGAACUUAAAAGGAUGAAGAAGGCCAUGUCUAUCCCAAAGGAGCGCAGAGUCUAAUAGAAUAAAUAGGCUAAGCAAAAUUGUUCAUAAAUACAAGAAGAAUAAAGCAUAUAAUCAAGACAAUACAAGAAAAUAAAUACCACAAAUGCUAUGAAAAGUUUAUUGCAGGCUUAUAUAAGGCAGCUGUUUUAAGUAUAUCAUCUUUAAAACAAUCCUGAAAGAUAGGUUGUAUUGUCCUUAUUAUUCAGAUGAGAAGAUUUAACUCUGAGAGGUUAACAUUAUUAUCAUUUUUACCACCCAGCUAGCAAGUAGCGGAGCUGGGCUUCAAAUCAAGGUUUUCUUUCAUGUUCAGCACUCACUCUUUCCACUACAUCAUAGCUGCUUAGUGAUUUGAGAGAGAAUUAGCCAAGAAGUAAGUGUAAACGGUGGCCAGUAGCCAAGCUUGGCUUAGAGGUGUUUUUGUUUGGCCAGCAGCAGUUUAACUUUUUUGAAAAUGCAAACAUCUUUGGGUUGUGGCCAGCACUUUUGUCUUUAAGGUCAGAUACCAGACUCUCUUGAGACAGAUUACCUGCCUGGUUCCAGAAAGCAUUUGUAUUUUCUUGUACCAGCAGUAACUGAGUUAGAGAGGAGCAAGAGCUCUCAGAAGGCCCUGGGAGAAGGUAUGUCCAAGGGUGGAAGGAGGACAUUGUAAACAAGGGUUGCAGAGUAUUUGAGGAAACUUGAUUGACAAUCUUAAAAACAUUAAAUAUUUUUGUUCAACAUUUAAAAUGAAAGCCUAUUUUUUGUUUUAAAAUAUUUCAGACAUUCAAAUGUGUACAAAAAAAAUGUAAAAACCACUAUAUAAAAGCUGCAACUGCGGCACGGGUUUGAUUCCUGGCCUGGGAACUUGCACAUGCCUCAGGUGCAGCUGGAAAAAAAAAAAAAGUUACACCUUGACAUAGCAGUUCUCAAACUUGAGUGAGCAUCAAAACCGAAUAUGAAACUAAAACACAUAUUAGUGGACCCCACCCCAGAAUGACUACAUGUGGGGUAGAGCUUGAGAAUUUGCAUUUCUAGCAAGUUCUCUGGUACUGCUGAUGCUGUUGGUCCAAAGAUCACACUUUGAAUAUCACUGCUUAGCAAACUGUAGGAUACUUUUAGGAAAGGGCUUACAGCCAAGACUUUGUUUCUGUGUUUGUAUUGUUUAAGUACAAAAAGAAUUACUUGACAUGGAAUAUUUAGAAAAUAAGUCUGUUAUCAGAGGUUACAAUUGUUGACAUUUUUGAUAGACUAUUUGCUUUUUUAUUAAAAAAAAAAGGUGGUAUACUUUUGUAAGAAACCAAAACUGGAUCAGCCUCAGCCUCAUAAUAAUAGCUAUUAACACUCACUGAGCAUCUGCUGUACACCAGGAUCUUUACAAAUAUUAAUCCUUAUAAUACCCUUAUGAGCCAAGUACCAUUAUGAUCAUUUUUAUUUUACAGAUCAGGAAACAAACACAGAGAAGUUAAGUAACUUGCUCUUUGUCUCAUUGCUAAUAAAUGGCAUAAUUAGGAUUAAAAACCCAUAUAGUCUGGCUCCAGAAUACACUAAGCUAUUAUGCUAUAUUGACUCUUAGGCUGUUCUGACCAUUAUGCUAUACUACUAUGCACAUUGUUUUUAAUCUGUAUUCUUUAAUCAAUCAUGAACUGUCUUAAAAACAUUAAAUAUUCUUGUUCAACAUUUAAAAUGAAAGCCUAUUUUUUUAUUUUAAAAUAUUUCAGACAUUCAAAUGUGUACAAAAAAUAUAUAAAAACCACUACCAAGUUUAACAAAUAUUUAUAUUUCACCAUAUUUGCUUCAGAAUUCCCCCCUCUUCUAAAAUACAUACUCACAGAUUAAGUAAGACUAUGAUUUUGGGGUUAAAUUUUACUUAAACAAGAUUGUAUCUUAUGAGUUAUAAGGGAAAUAAGUUCCCUUAGUAAGAUAUCCUUUAAACUUAGUAAUAGAGGAAGAAUUUCUAUUUAGUGAACAACUCAUAGUUACUGUUGCCAUUAUAAUACUAUCCCCCUUAAACACCCUAGCCCAGGUGUGGCUUUAUUAAUGACUUGGUAAUAAAGGUAAUAAACAGAUAGUAACAUAAAGCUAGGUAAUGUGACAGUGUAUGGCUUACUCAGUUUUCAGGCUGCUUGGCCUUCCUCCACGUGGUGAAGGUCACAUUCCACCAGGGUGACAUCUCAGCAUUUCCCAAUAGAACUGUCUGCAGUGAUGGAAAAGUCCUUUGCCCGUCCUCUCCAAUAUGGCAGCCACUGGCCACGUGUGGCUGUUAGACACUUGAAAUGUGACUAGUGCACUGAGGGACUGAAUUGUUCAUUUGAUUCAAUUUAAAUUAAAGUAACCACAUUUGGCUUGUGGCUACCAUAUUGGGCAGCAAUAGAUCUAGGUCCUUAAAGGAUACAUUAAAAAUAAUGAGUUUCCCGGAGUUCCCACUGUGGCGCUACAGGAUUGGCCUCAUCUUGGGAGCGCUGGGAUGCAAGUUCCAUACCCGGUCUGGCACAAUGGGAUAAGGAUCCAGCAUUGCUGCAGCUAUGGCUUUGGUCAUGACUAUGGCUUGGAUCUGAUCCCUGGCCCUAGAACUCAGUAUGCUGUGGGGAGUUCCUGUCGUGGCGCAGUGGUUAACGAAUCCGACUAGGAACCAUGAGGUUGCAGGUUCGAUCCCUGCCCUUGCUCAGUGGGUUAACGAUCCGGCGUUGCUGUGAGCUGUGGUGUGAGCUGUGGUGUAGGUCGCAGACGCAGCUCGGAUUCCGCGUUGCUGUGGCUCUGGCGUAGGCUGGCAGCUACAGCUCCGAUUGGACCCCUAGCCUGGGAAUCUCCAUAUGCUGCGGGAGCGGCCCAAGAAA